UGUUUUAUCCCCUAGAGAGGUUCUCCAGUUGGCUGAAGAAGAAUCAUUCUCAUCCCACGUCUGUGAAUCCGGAUUAAUUCAUCUGAAGUGGUCUCAAGGAUGUGAUUAACAUUUUUGGUUCUUCAUGACACUUCUCAUCUCUGCAUCUCCCUAUUCCCCAAAACUGGAAAGUAAGAAUCUGAAGCCUACUCUUUUAUGCUGACCCAUCACUCUGAUGCCAGGGCGUUGUUGAUUCCAGUUAUUCUUCUCAACUGAUCUCCUGUCCACAGCUUCCUUAAUGAUCG
rnacentral:lncRNA from 1 species